GCUUCGUAACUUCGGGAGAAGGAGUGCCUCCUCACAAAGGGGGUCGCAGUGACCAGGCCUGGGCGACUGUUUACCAAAAACACAGGUCUCCGCAAAGUCGUAAGACCAUGUAUGGGGGCUGACGCCUGCCUAGUGCUGGAAGGUUAAGGAAGUUGGUGACCUGAUGAUAGGGGAGCCGACGACCGAAGCCCCGGUGAACGGCGGCCGUAACUUCCCCACAUUCCAUCCUAUGAAAUGGAGUACGGGGAAGCCCUUUACUGUAGCUUACCCCCUUGGGGGCU
rnacentral:rRNA from 1 species